CAUGAAGUUAGAACAGAGAAAACAAAGCCAGAGGGACUGCUGCCAACCGCCACGUGCCCCAGGCCCUUCACCUGUGCGUGAGGAGCGAGGAGGGGAAGAUUCUCCUGCAGGAGGCAGGCAGCGAUUUGGUUGCCAGGGCUGGGAAACGCGUCCCAGGCUGAGUAGCUGCCCAGCAGUUCCCCAUGAUGGACGAAGGAGCAUUGAGUUUUUGGUGGGCGGUGAGACUUCUGCCUCACUGCAGGGUAAAACCUCGUUUAGACGAAUGGGAAAACAGUGUCGACCAAAGUGUGCCCAUGAACGGAUGUCAUUACUAGAGGUCCAAGCCGGUGAGAGUUUAGGGAGCUGGCUUCAAGCCCGGACGUGGGCAACUGCUGCUUGAUCACAGGCAACUUCUUUAACCUCUUAGAGACUCCGUUUUCUUGGCAGUGGAAUGGGGAUUCUAACACCCACCAAGCAGUUUUACGAAGGUUCGAUGGAAUAUAUACACAAAAUAGAGGACCAGCGAGAGGGUGGUAAAGAGUGCUACCUGUCAUUUAUG